UUGGAAGACGGGGCGAAAGUAAAUGGGACAGCCUAAAAGACACGGUGGAAUCGAGGGCUCCUCACUGAGACAGUUUAGACAUGAUUUGCACGUAGUUUCACUUCAUUCUGCCGGCACACGAGAAGCUUCAGAUCUUUCAGUCACCACAGACGACCACCUUUAUCCUACAGUCUUACGGGCAGUCAUCAGUGUAACUGAACAGAAAUCAGUUUGAAUGAAAAGGGAUUACCGCCAGGAAACAGGGGAACAAAAGAAAAAAUGGCAGAAGUUUUGGUUCCAACCUCACGAAAGCCGGAAGGUCUCGACUUUUUGACGUUAUUAUCGCGUUUGUACAAGCCUGAUUUAUAUUGUAGACUAAGCCAGGGUGCCAGACUCAUUCCUGGAGUGUAACCUACAUCAGGAACGGCAAUGUCAGGGUCUAUAUAUACUAUAUUUCUAUAGUAGUACACGAGUUCAAAUUGUAUUGUAGGGUUUGUGUGAUUUUGCAGACGGCUAACAGAAAAGCACCACACAUACAAAUAUAUCCGGCAGGAUUUUAAAGGCAUUUUUCAAAACGUAUAAAUAAAAUAUUCAGGAAUUAUAGAACGCUUACUUAAUAACCAGUGACACGCAGUAUAACCACACUUGACGGACACCUGUUAAACUCGAUUUUCAACUUUAAAAAGAUGGCAUAGAAAAUAGCAACAUACUGUGGUGGUUUUCACGCUUUGUAGCUGUUCUCAA